rnacentral:rRNA from 1 species
UACGUAGGUGACCAGCGUUGUCCGGAUUUACUGGGCGUAAAGAGCGCGCAGGCGGUCGUUUCAAGUCGAGUGUGAAAGCCCCCGGCUCAACUGGGGAGGGUCACUCGAUACUGAUCGACUGGAAGGCAGGAGAGGGAAGCGGAAUUCCCGGUGUAGUGGUGAAAUGCGUAGAUAUCGGGAGGAACACCAGUGGCGAAGGCGGCUUCCUGGCCUGUUCUUGACGCUGAGGCGCGAAAGCUAGGGGAGCAAACGGGG